UACGUAGGGGGCAAGCGUUGUUCGGAAUUACGGGGCGUAAAGCGCGCGUAGGCGGUCUGAAAAGUCAGAUGUGAAAGCCCCGGGCUCAACUUGGGAACUGCAUUUGAUACUGUCAGACUAGAGUACAGAAGAGGUGACUGGAAUUCCCAGUGUAGCGGUGAAAUGCGUAGAUAUCUGGAGGAACACCGGUGGCGAAGGCGGCAUCCUGGACCAACACUGACGCUGAGGAGCGAAAGCCAGGGGAGCAAACGGG
rnacentral:rRNA from 1 species